AUGUCAGGUCAGAGGUUAAGCGGGAAGUAAAUAGAAUUAAGUGGACUAAAAACACAAAUUAAAUCAAUAAAGAAGCUAAAAUCGAAAAAAGUCAGAGACACGGAGAAGAACAUACUCCAGGCUGGUGUUUAGACAUGUUCAAAGACUACAUACAUAUUGAAAAACAACGUAAGCUAACUGUUGAUGAUGCUAGUGAUGCUAAGUCUUGCUAACGUUAGCCGCAAGCUAAUGAUUCCAGCGGAGACAAGCGGAGGCCGCUGCCGAGGAGCUCGGAGCUAACGCCCGGCUAUCGACCAGAGGGGAGUGUCACAGUGUCACAGUGUUACAGAGGAGGCUGCUACCGACCAGGACUAAGAAGAGAAGGUUGCUGCCCGCUGCUGAGGACGAGCUACAUGACAGCGUCUCAACAGGGAUGCAAAACUGGAUUACCAGCUGGGCAAAGUAGACCACUUCUCCCCAAGACCCACCCAGGACCUCUGAGGGCUCCAAAAGCUUCAGCUUUAGUCUGCCGUUUGGCAACUGACGGGCAGAAACAUGGCGCCCACCGCCCACCCUAGCUUUUGCUGCUACCUAGGUACGGGGGAGCUUGCUAGCAGCACCUGCAAUUACCGCUGGUACUGCUGGACCCAUAGUGGUGGGAUGAUGUUGCUGGGGAAACAUGGUGUCCACCCUUCAGUCCCUCCCCAGGUGGCCCAGUGUUCUGCAGCUCACCGGAUGUCCCUCCUAGAUGGCACGCCAUCAACCGUCCCCUCCACCUGCCAAUGUCAAAGCCAGCUCACAAACUUCCACUUUAGAAAUGUUGAUAUGAACAUAAACAUGCAAAUGUAACAUAUUCAUUGUUUGCAGGGAUGUACAGCGUCAACAUUUUCUUCUUGCAACUGGGUCGAAAGGUCACCAAUGGGUGCCAUGGAAACAGUAUUUAGAAAGGGAUCAGCUACCACACUGUCUAGUUCAGCGUUUUGCAUGUACAUGUACGAAAAACAAAAUUUCUGUACCAAAUACAAACUCUUAAUUGUUGGUAUUAACUGUGAUGUGCUCAGUAUUUUAUUAUAAGCUUGAUAAAUAAAGUGUUUAUUGAUGGAACCAGC